AUGAAUACAUGUGAACUUCGUUUGUGUUUAGGAAUUAAUACCUUAUGGUAUUCACUUUAUACAGACAUGUGCCUGUUUGCAUCUUUACCCCUUCAAGAUUCACCCUCCCUGGGUCUCCUGGAGACUUCUCAUGUGGGCUACCUGGUAUUCAUUCUAAUUUACCAGGACAAGCAUGGCGGGAAGGUAGCAGGUUUACCUGGAAAACUGAUUACAGGGCACAUGGGUCAGACAAAAGGCCAAAGGGCAGCAGGUGAGGUUGUUGCUAUGAUCUCCUUCCAGUCGGCUGUCCUUGCUCAGCAGAGAACAGACCUGGCCCUCUUCUUCCAGCUCUGCGUCUGGUGUGUUUUCUCAACACCUCAGUGGGGCAAGAAAGGACCAAGCCUGCCAGAACCAAGGGGAGCUUCCGGACCCGGGGAUUGAACCUGCAUUUCUUGACUCUCCUUCAUCGGCAGACGGGUUCUUUACCACUGAGCCACCCAGGAAGCCCCUCAGCUACCGGACUUUCCUUAUCUGUCUCCAGACCCCUCCAACCAGCCUCCAGCUCCGUCCAGUCAGGACCAUCUGACGACCCAGUACAGGAGGGUCUCUUAACGAGGCUACACACCCAGAAGACGUCUUUCUACCCGAACCUCCAAACCACUUUUCUGCCACAAAACGAAACUGAGCACAGGAGGUCAGGGUGUGCGGUGGGGACCUGGGGGGCGGCUCUGGAGCAGAAGGACCCGAGGCUCAGGCUGGGCCUCUCGAUCCCCGUGAGGGGCCAAGUCUUUUGGCCAAUGUCCCCCGUAUUCCCUCCUUCUCAGACCGCUUCCAAAUUCAUCACCAAAUUCGUCACCAAGUUGGUUCUGUUCAACGCAAAACAAACAGGUGAAGCACGGAGAGCGGUUCCUCACAGAGAGAGGACAAGAGGGUAUGAAAAUCUUUAAAGACGCCUCAGCAAAGUCCAAGGACUGACGGGAAAGAGGCGGUGGAUGACUGACCUGGCCUGCGUGGACGUGCGGACGCAGGGCACGGAGGGCAUGGACGUGGGGACAUGGAGUGAAGGAAACGUGGGGGGCGUGGUGAACCAGGGGAGCAUAGGCAGCUGGGGGAGGGCUGGAAUCUUGACCAUGAAAAGGUACCUCGCGGUUCUUGUGCACAGGUACAACUAGGCAAGAAGGAGGAUAGUGAUGAACGUUGUAUAGGGGAGAGAAUCCAUUAGUGUGGGUUUAGGGAGAAGGACUGGACCACGUUCUAGAAACUGAGGCUUCAUGGAAGGAGAAGGGAGCAGACUGGGGAAGUGGACUGGAGGCUAGUUCAGCGGAGAUGAAAUAGGAAGUAGCUUUAAUUAAAGAAGAUAGAAGGAGAGCCUUGAGACUGAAUGAACCCACAGGGAUGAUGGGCUUAACAUUCAUAGUGUUUCUUGAUCACGUUAAAACUCACUUCAAAUUCUGCCUCUUCUUUACCUUGAUAUGCAACUCAUUUGAAAAAAAAAAAAAAAGAACUCCCUGGAGGGACAAUUUACAUGCUAUCAAACGAAUGGGCCCAUUUAAAAUGUACAGUGUGAUGAAUUUAGAAAAACACACACACUUGUGUUGCCGGCAACCAGCCUAUAUCUCCAUCAGCCAAAUGACCUCGGGACUCCUCCCAGGGCUUGCAUCUCGUCCUAGGCUUUGUUGAGGUUAUUUUUGCCUGUUCAAGAACUUCACAUACAUGGAAAUAGACAGUCUGGGUGUACAAUUUCUUUCAGAUUUAUCAACAUUGUUCUUUUUUUAAUCUGAGUAGCAUUCCAUUGCAUGAGAUGUAACAGGAUUUGUUUAUCUAGUCACCUACUGUUGGGUUGUUUCUUCGCAGGCACUGUUUUGAAUAAAGCUGCCAAAAACAGUCCUUGUACAAGUCUCAUGGAUGCAUAGUUUUAUGUAGUCAGGGUAAAUACAUAGUGGUAUUGCUGGAUCUGAUGGUAUUUACACGCUUAAUUUAUGAGACUGCAGAUGGUGUUCCUGAUAAAAUGUUCUAUCUGCACCCCAAAAAUCAACACAAGAAUUCCAGUCAUUGCCCCCUCCCAGCCUUGUCAGCAUUUGGUGUUGUCAGAAUUUUCCAUCUUAUCAUUCUCGUGAGCAACCAUCUCCUUUGAAAUAAAGACUAGGGUCAUUUUUGGAGGAUUACAUGCAGGAUGAAGAGAGGGUCACUGCAGUUAAGGACUGGGUCCAACAAACACCCAGCUCCACACACCACUCCAGGCCUCUCCCACUUUGACCUAAGGAGAAGGAAAUGGCAAUCCACUCCAGUGUUCUUGCCUGGAGAAUCCCAGGGACAGAGGAGCCUGGUGGGCUGCUGUCUAUGGGGUCGCACAGAGUCAGACAUGACUGAAGUGACUUAGCAGCAGCAGGGCUCCCUUCCCUGGGUUCAAUUUGCUCACGAAACUCAGGGAACACUACUUAUGUUUACUGUUCAGUUCAGUUCAGUUCAGUUGUGUCUAACUCUUUGCGACCCCAUGAAUCGCAGCAUGCCAGGCCUCCCUGUCCAUCACCAACUCCCAGAGUUCACUCAGAUUCACGUCCAUCGAGUCAGUGAUGCCACCCAGCCAUCUCAUCCUCUGUCGUCCCCUUCUCCUCCUGCCCCCAAUCCCUCCCAGCAUCAAAGUCUUUUCCAAUGAGUCAACUCUUCGCAUGAGCUGUUUGCUGAUUUGUUACCUAAUACAGGAAAGGAUGAAGUUAAAGGAUACACACCAACAGUCAGAUGAUGAGGCACAGAGGGCGAGGUCUGGGAGCGUCUGGGAGACAGGAGUAUCUGCUCUGUGGAGCUGGGACUGUGCCCAUGCUUCUGGAAGCUCUCUGAACCCAAUAGUUCUUGAGUUUUGAUGGAGGCUUCAUCAUGUAGGCACAGUCAGUAUCCAUCACAAACUCAGUCUCCAGCCUCUGCCCUCCUGCUAGGAGGCGAGUAGAGCUGGAAGUUCUAAGCCUGUAAUCCUGGCUCAGUAAUUUUGGUGACAGAGCCCCUGUCCUGAAGCCAUCCAGGAACAGAUAUGCUUCCAGCACCCAGGAAACCCCAUGGGAUUGAGGGAUUCUGGGCUGGGCCCUGAAGCAGACACACUUCUGUCCCCUGGGUCACAGCUGUGUGACCACAGCCAGGUGGGAGGUGGGGUGGCAGGCAGGGGGCUGGAAAGUGGAACCGUGGGCAUCUCAGGUGGAGUUCUGCAAACACAGACCCUGGGCAGAAUUCUAGGGAAGGGUCCCAGGAGCAGGGGUGGGCCUGCCUGCAGGCACCCUGAGGAGGGUUUGGAAGUUGGGGAGGCGGAUCUGUGGGUUGUGGCAGCAGAGAUUACAAAGUAGCCCAGGUGGCCUUGGGCAGGAGUGGGCACUCCUCCUCCCCAGAAAGGCGUUCACAUCCUCCUAUUGUGGAUGGGCGUGGACACUGGGAGGUCACCACGUUUCUGCAGUUCUAGAUACAGUGUGAGUCAGCGUCCUGCUAAGAGGGAGCGGCAGUUUUCAGGGGCGGGGGAAAGAGCUCAAUGGAUCCGUCAGGGUUAGGACCUUCCUGAGGGGGUGGGAAUGAACUUGAGCAAAGGAAACAUCCUGGUGGGUGGGUAGGUGGGGGCGUGGGGGCGCAGCUCCAGAAAUGGGAGGGGAACUGGAAGCAAAAAGUCGGGUCAGUCUGAGCUUCUCAGUCCACUGCAUGGUCCUCCCUCUUCUCCACUGCUGAGACCACUCGGCAUAGAAUUCCCAGAGCCCAGACCGGGUCCUCCCUUCCCCUCAUCUCCUUCCUCUCUCCCUCCCCUAGAAUUCCCAGAGCCCAGACCAGCUCCUCCCUUCCCCCCAUCUCCUUCCCCCUCCCCCGAUCUUCCUAGUGGGUCCCAGAUGAAAGGUGAAGUUGUUGACUGCCCAAUUCUGAGGUGUGCCUCUUACAGGAUGGGGCGGGAGAGGGGUUGCUGCAGAUGCCCUGCUUAUUGCCAGCAGAGACCUUCAGCCCACUGGGACAGAAAGAGGGAUGUAGCUACACACAGGAGUUGGGUGCCAGCCAUUUCUUGGGGCUCCUUGAGCCAUGGCAUCUGCCUGACUGUGUAUCUUCUAGGCACCAAUGAUCCCUGCACCCGCCCUGCUGAGAAUCAGAGCUUGUUCCAGGUGUCUCCUGCUGGCCCCUAGGAGCCUGCCUGUGGCCUGAAGCAUUGAGCUGGAAUAUCACUAGUGAACAUCUACUCUCUUCAGACAUCACAGUGUGUUCUCUGUGUAGUUCUCCCUUUCAAAUUUCUUAUCUAUGAUAUAGACACAAUUUAUCACAUUUUCUAGAGGGUAAGAGGGAAGCUCAGAGACUUGUGUAAUUCACAGGAUUUUACUAGUGUUACAAACCAAAAUGCUGUGCUGUGUGCUUAGCCAUGUUCGGCGCUUUGCAAGCCUAUGGACUGUAGCCCACCAGGCUCCUCUAUCCAGACAAGAAUACUGGAAUGGGUUGCUAUGCCCUCCUCCAGGGAUCUUUGAAACCCAGCGAUGGAAACUUAUGUCUCCUGCUUUGGCAGGCAGGUUCUUUACUUCUUGUGCCACCUGGGAAACCCCAUAAUAAUACCUUACCUACUAUUAUUUCCCCCCAUCAUUGUAUUCUUUGUAUGGUAGCUAUGAUUUACAUGAACUACAAUUUGCAGAGAUUUACAAGAUCUCAUGGCUUACUAAAAACUUAGCAUGAACCAGGUAUUAUAAUAUAGAUAUAAACUUACUAGUUAACAAACAGUUGGAAUACCUCAAAGUUUCUUGUUCAAGUGGUUAAGACGUGCUAUCUGUACGGUCUGGCUGAGGGAAUAUUCUCAGCAGUUUGAUUUAAAACUGCCAUUUUUUCCCCCUCUUUAUUUCCUAAGACUUGCCUGCUUAAUUAGACUUAGCCUCCGCUCCUAGAGGCUUGUAUUCAUAUUCUGGUUUACACACUUGCAAGACAAAGGCAAUUAUUUAGUUUUUCAAAGAACAGUUCUGUCACCUAAAGUUACCAAAAUCAGUGGCAAGAUUUUUAAUAA
ensembl:lincRNA